UACGGGGGGGCAAGCGUUGUUCGGAAUUACUGGGCGUAAAGGGCUCGUAGGCGGCCAACUAAGUCAGACGUGAAAUCCCCAGGCUCAACCUGGGAACUGCGUCUGAUACUGGAUGGCUUGAAUCCGGGAGAGGGAUGCAGAAUUCCAGGUGUAGCGGUGAAAUGCGUAGAUAUCUGGAGGAAUACCGGUGGCGAAGGCGGCAUCCUGGACCGGCAUUGGACGCUGAGGAGCGAAAGCUAGGGAGCAAGCGGG
rnacentral:rRNA from 1 species